GAUAAUGUGUAUUUUAAAUAUUUAUUCCUUUUUUUCAUUUCAAAGGACAAUUUGUUUUUUCUUCUUUUUAUUAUAAGAUAACAUUAUCCUAAGCAUCUUCGAGGGUUUGCACCCCGCUCUGUACCUAAAUUACUUUUUAUAUAACAUUUUUUCUCACCUUCUUCUGUUUUCACCGUUUUUUAUCGUUUUUCCACUGCAGACAAGCCAGCUUCCACCUCCUUCCCUAAAUAAAUUCUUUCUCUCCCGCCCCCUCUUUUUCUUUCUCUCUUUCUCUUCUCCCCUCUCUCUCUCUCCUUUCUUUUCAUCUCUCUUUUGUCGAUAUCACUUAUCGCAGUCAAUUGUAUAUCGUUACUAUUACCCCAACUUCUACUUCGUUUCUCCAUCUCUGCUUUCGUCUCGCCCCGUGUUGACUUUAUACAAAUUGAUUUUUUGACAGUUUUAUGGCAUUUUACCGUCGGUGGUGGAAACUGAAGGUGUGUGUGUGUGUGUUUGUGUGUGUGUGUAUGUGUCAUGUGAUAAGCAUAUCUGGCGCGUCGAACACGUCAUCAGAAUUCAUUCCGCUUCUCAUCCGAUCCGUUUCUUUCUUUCUUUCUUCCUUCCUUUCCCUCCCUUUUCACGAAUACUUUACUGCGAUACAAAACGAGACGGUGCUACUAAAUGAAUGGGUGCGUAUAGCUGUCGUUUCGGAUCGCGACGGACAGAGGACAAGGUACCUGGGAGCUCUGCGUUCGAAAUCAACUCAACGCAACGCGGCGUUUUGAUGAACGAGUGAAACGGUGGCCCACGAUGGGUGUGUAUAUUUAAACGUGCCCUACAAUCGCCGGUAAGAUUAUGUUUGCAAGAAGCAAGAAAUUAACCGAUCAUAGUCGAUUCCGAUCAUAGUCGUUCUCCUUACAUUCAGUUUUAAGAACAGGAUAGAGAUGCAUUUAUCAGAGGAGAAAUUGUAAGUUUUAUCAGACAAGUAGUAAUUUAAAGUAACUAUGCUAUUUAAACGAAUACAAUUACUGUGACACGAAAAUGCGAUGUGUAAUAAAUUUCUUGUUGUUUUAGUUUCCGUUGUUUAAAUUAAAUACUUUUACCGUUCAUUGUAGGCUACGUUUUAGGGCCUACAAUAGGAAUAGUAGGAGUAUGUUUGUAAAAAGUAAGAGUACGAAAUUAAGCAAUCAUAUUCGAAUGUAAGAGGAAUAAACGACUAUGAUCACUAAAUUUCUCACUUAUAAGCCGAAUCUACGAUAGAUGUAGUAAGCCUUAAGCAUAAAAAAAAUUGACCAAUCACAAUCGAAUUAUAGAAGAAUAAUCAAUAGUGAUUGGUCGAUUUCUCAAGGCUUACGGCUUAAAUUCUCACCGUAGAUCCCGCUUUGUUUCUUACAACAUACUCCCACCGCCCACGUUGCAGCACACGUUUACACGAAGUAAGAGUAAGAAAUCGACCAAUCACAGUCGAUCGUUCUCCUCACAUUCGAAUACGAUUGGCCAACUUCUUAUUCUUACUUCUUGCGAACAUACUCCCGUUGUAGACUAAACGCUUAAUUAAAGCAGAGCUUGCCUCGCGAAGAAUGAUCGUGUGCUUUAUCUCUUUCUGUCCUUCCCGCAGGACUCGCGUGUGUGUGUAUGUAUUUGUGUGUGUGUGUGUGGGUGUCGGAAGAAGUCGCCGGUGAGAAACCGCCUACGACGAGCAGCAGCUACUUUAUACACGCACACACCCGGAUGAUGAUGGUUUCUCGCGACGAUACAGCGAAUCGACGACCGCCGAGAGCGGACACGAGAGAGAGAAACAACACGCCCCGUUGAGACGUUGUCCACUUCGGCAGGCGAAUUCGUUGCGCGACUGUGCCCUCUUCAUGCUCGCAUACUCCGAACGACGCGACUUCCGCGAACGUACCGGCGACACACCAUGCACACACCGGUGUGUCUCCGGCCGGGCCACCCGAGGCCCAGGGAGCGCGCGAUCUCGGGACGGGGGGAUGACGCCGGAGAGAAGCAACUACUACGACACGGGUUGUUGUGUUACGGAAACUUCCGUUACCAUUAUUAAACUUGGAAGACACGACGAAGGAGUUGAGAAUCGUGCCGAUCACGACCAAUCUGCGCGCGGGAGGAGUCAUAUGUAUAUUUUAACAUAUACCGCAACAAGAAUCCACGACGCGUCGCGGGACGCCUCGACAGGAACGGAAACGCGUGCGUGUGACGGACGCAGCCGAGGAGAAUACACGCGGUGCGCGCGACACGUCGAUACGUCAUUUACUUAACGCGCACCAUAUCGCACACACGUAGCAAUUUUAAUUCGCGUCUGUAUUCGUAUCCGAACGACAAACCUCGAUACGCUGACACGUCUGUAACAAAAAAAAAACAUCUCUCUCUUUUUUUUUCUUUCGCUCGCUCGCUCGUUCGUUCACACUUCGUCUCUUUCUCUUCUUAUUGUUGGUUUUUCUCCUCAAAGAUAAUCAUAGCAAAGUUUUUUUUUCUUUUUUAUACAUUGACCACCGACGAUAAAUAUCACAUAACGAGGAAAGUUGUAACUCGUUACUCUCUCGUUACUCUCGCGCAGUUUAUUUAUUUUGUUAAAAGCCCCGCACGCGUUGGCGUAUCCACGCGUCGGAAAAUCUAGCUACAUCACAGGCGCUGUGUCUAGCUAAUCGCUUUUCUAUCCUUAUUUUAUUAACUAUGUCCGGUGCUCUCUCUCUCUCUCUCUCUCUCUCUCUCUCUCUCUCUCUC